AACGAACGCUGGCGGCAGGCCUAACACAUGCAAGUCGAACGCCCUGGCAACAGGGAGUAGCAGACGGGUGAGUAACGCGUGGGAACGUGCCCUUCGGUUCGGAAUAACUCAGGGAAACUUGAGCUAAUACCGGAUACGUGCGAGAGCAGAAAGAUUUAUCGCCGAAGGAUCGGCCCGCGUCCGAUUAGCUAGUUGGUGAGGUAACGGCUCACCAAGGCGACGAUCGGUAGCUGGUCUGAGAGGAUGAUCAGCCACACUGGGACUGAGACACGGCCCAGACUCCUACGGGAGGCAGCAGUGGGGAAUAUUGGACAAUGGGCGCAAGCCUGAUCCAGCCAUGCCGCAUGAGUGAUGAAGGCCCUAGGGUUGUAAAGCUCUUUCGCCAGGGACGAUAAUGACGGUACCUGGAUAAGAAGGACCGGCCAACUACGUGCCAGCAGCCGCAGUAA
rnacentral:rRNA from 1 species